GACGAACGCUGGCGGCGUGCUUAACACAUGCAAGUCGAGCGGUAAGGCCCUUUCGGGGGUACACGAGCGGCGAACGGGUGAGUAACACGUGGGUGACCUGCCCUCAGCUCUGGGAUAAGCCUGGGAAACCGGGUCUAAUACUGGAUAUGACUCCAUGACGCAUGUUGUGGGGUGGAAAGCCUUGUGCGGCUGAGGAUGGGCCCGCGGCCUAUCAGCUUGUUGGUGGGGUGAUGGCCUACCAAGGCGACGACGGGUAGCCGGCCUGAGAGGGCGACCGGCCACACUGGGACUGAGACACGGCCCAGACUCCUACGGGAGGCAGCAGUGGGGAAUCUUGCGCAAUGGGCGAAAGCCUGACGCAGCGACGCCGCGUGAGGGAUGACGGCCUCGGUGU
rnacentral:rRNA from 1 species